AGGUUUAAGAGAAACAUGUAGAUU
rnacentral:piRNA from 1 species